rnacentral:tRNA from 1 species
AAAUAAAAAGCGAUUAACGCAAUCAGUUUCGACCUGAUUUUUGGUAUACUAAUACCUUUAUUUA